rnacentral:rRNA from 1 species
GACGAACGCUGGCGGCGUGCCUAAUACAUGCAAGUAGAACGCUGAAGGAGGAGCUUGCUUCUCUGGAUGAGUUGCGAACGGGUGAGUAACGCGUAGGUAACCUGCCUGGUAGCGGGGGAUAACUAUUGGAAACGAUAGCUAAUACCGCAUAAUAGUAGAUGUUGCAUGACAUUUGCUUAAAAGGUGCAAUUGCAUCACUACCAGAUGGACCUGCGUUGUAUUAGCUAGUUGGUGGGGUAACGGCUCACCAAGGCGACGAUACAUAGCCGACCUGAGAGGGGGAUCGGCCAACCUGGGAAUGGAACACGGCCCAGACCCCUACGGGAGGCAGCAGUAGGGAAUCUUCGGCAAUGGACGGAAGUCUGACCGAGCAACGCCGCGUGAGGGAAGAAGGUUUUCGGAUCGGAAAGCUCUGUUGUAAGAGAAGAACGAGUGUGAGAGUGGAAAGUUCACACUGCGACGGUAGCUUACCAGAAAGAGACGGCUAACUACGUG